rnacentral:rRNA from 1 species
CCAGCAGCCGCGGUAAUUCCAGCUCCAAUAGCGUAUAUUAAAGUUGUUGCAGUUAAAACGCUCGUAGUUGGAUCUUGGGGUGCGAGGAACUCUGUCCACCUAGUGGUGAGAACGGGUUCGUCCACUCUUCCCUUCUGGAUACUCCCUGUUGCCCUUAAUUGGGCUGCAGGAGCAGGCGGCGUUUACGCGCCGUCCGGGUUCCAGAUCGUUUACUUUGAGGAAAUUAGAGUGUUCAAAGCAGGCGUUCGCCUUGAAUACUGCAGCAUGGGAUAAUAGAACAGGACUGGGGUUCUGUUUUGUUGGUUUAUUGAACCACAGUAAUGAUAAAUAGGGACAGUUGGGGC